rnacentral:rRNA from 1 species
CAGUGAUUACUUUAACGGCCGCGGUACCCUGACCGUGCAAAGGUAGCAUAAUCAUUUGCCUUUUAAUUGGAGGCUAGUAUGAAUGGUCUAACGAGAGUAAAACUGUCUCAUAUAUAGUUAACAGAAACUAAUUUAAAGGUGCAAAAGCCUUUAUCCACUAAAAAGACGAGAAGACCCUGUUGAGCUUUAAUCUUAAUGAGCAUCCUUUAUAUAUAUAUAAAUUUACCCUGCUUACUAAAGAUUUUAAUUGGGGCGAUUAAGGAACAAUCACCAGCUUCCUGACUAUGAGCUAAACCGAUCCAGCAAUGCUGAUCAACAAAACGAGUUACCACAGGGAUAACAGCAUAAUUCUUCUCAAGAGCUCAUAUCGAAAGAAGAGAUUGUGACCUCGAUGUUGGACUAGGGUAACUAGAAGGUGUAGCCGCUUUCUCGCUCGGUCUGUUCGACCGGUAAUUCCCU